rnacentral:rRNA from 1 species
UUAAAUUGAAGAGUUUGAUCAUGGCUCAGAUUGAACGCUGGCGGCAGGCCUAACACAUGCAAGUCGAACGGUAACAGGAAGCAGCUUGCUGCUUUGCUGACGAGUGGCGGACGGGUGAGUAAUGUCUGGGAAACUGCCUGAUGGAGGGGGAUAACUACUGGAAACGGUGGCUAAUACCGCAUAACGUCGCAAGACCAAAGAGGGGGACCUUCGGGCCUCUUGCCAUCAGAUGUGCCCAGAUGGGAUUAGCUGGUUGGUGAGGUAACGGCUCACCAAGGCGACGAUCCCUAGCUGGUCUGAGAGGAUGACCAGCCACACUGGAACUGAGACACGGUCCAGACUCCUACGGGAGGCAGCAGUGGGGAAUAUUGCACAAUGGGCGCAAGCCUGAUGCAGCCAUGCCGCGUGUAUGAAGAAGGCCUUCGGGUUGUAAAGUACUUUCAGCGGGGAGGAAGGUGUUGUGGUUAAUAACUGCAGCAAUUGACGUUACCCG